rnacentral:tRNA from 1 species
GCCUUCGUGGUGUAGUGGUCAGCACGCUGGGCGCGUAUUCCAGAGGCCCGUGGUUCGAGUCCCGGCCAAGGCG